rnacentral:rRNA from 1 species
UACGUAGGUGGCAAGCGUUGUCCGGAAUUAUUGGGCGUAAAGCGCGCGCAGGCGGUUCUUUAAGUCUGAUGUGAAAGCCCACGGCUCAACCGUGGAGGGUCAUUGGAAACUGGGGAACUUGAGUGCAGAAGAGGAAAGUGGAAUUCCAAGUGUAGCGGUGAAAUGCGUAGAGAUUUGGAGGAACACCAGUGGCGAAGGCGACUUUCUGGUCUGUAACUGACACUGAGGCGCGAAAGCGUGGGGAGCAAACAGG